AGUGAACGCUGGCGGUAGGCCUAACACAUGCAAGUCGAACGGCAGCACAGGAGAGCUUGCUCUCUGGGUGGCGAGUGGCGGACGGGUGAGGAAUACAUCGGAAUCUACUUUUUCGUGGGGGAUAACGUAGGGAAACUUACGCUAAUACCGCAUACGACCUACGGGUGAAAGCAGGGGAUCUUCGGACCUUGCGCGAUUGAAUGAGCCGAUGUCGGAUUAGCUAGUUGGCGGGGUAAAGGCCCACCAAGGCGACGAUCCGUGGCUGGUCUGAGAGGAUGAUCAGCCACACUGGAACUGAGACACGGUCAAGACUCCUACGGGAGGCAGCAGUGGGGAAUAUUGGACAAUGGGCGCAAGCCUGAUCCAGCCAUACCGCGUGGGUGAAGAAGGCCUUCGGGUUGUAAAGCCCUUUUGUUGGGAAAGAAAUCCAGCUGGCUAAUACCCGGUUGGGAUGACGGUACCCAAAGAAUAAGCACCGGCUAACUUCGUGCCAGCAGCCGCGGUAAGAC
rnacentral:rRNA from 1 species